rnacentral:lncRNA from 1 species
GAAGCGUGAAUAUAUAUCUCUUCAGCACCUAUGAAAGUGAGAACCAGAGGUUGAGGGCGGCGUUCUUUUGUAGGCAUCGAGUGUGCCGGAGAGAAAGAGAACAAUCAGGGCUAGGAUAGUGCCAUCCUAAGCCAUGGUUGUUCAAAUGUCAUUGAUGGUGAAGAUGUAGCUAGCGCUAGGACUUGGACAAUGGGGUAUCUGAAUCCCAACUGGUAGGCACUGAUC